GAACGCGAAGAACCUUACCAAGUCUUGACAUCCUUUGACCACUCUAGAGAUAGAGCUUUCCCUUCGGGGACAAAGUGACAGGUGGUGCAUGGUUGUCGUCAGCUCGUGUCGUGAGAUGUUGGGUUAAGUCCCGCAACGAGCGCAACCCUUGUCAUUAGUUGCCAUCAUUCAGUUGGGCACUCUAAUGAGACUGCCGGUGACAAGCCGGAGGAAGGUGGGGAUGACGUCAAAUCAGCACGGCCCUUACGUCCGGGGCUACACACGUGUUACAAUGGGGGGUACAGAAGGUCGCUACCUGUGACAGGAUGCUAAUCUCCAAAACCUCUCUCAGUUCGGAUUGGAGUCUGCAACCCGACUCCAUGAAGCUGGAUUCGCUAGUAAUCGCGCAUCAGCCAUGGCGCGGUGAAUACGUUCCCGGGUCUUGUACACACC
rnacentral:rRNA from 1 species